rnacentral:tRNA from 1 species
UUACCCACUUUUCCUUUAAAACCACAAUUUAACAUUCUUUAAACUAUUGGAUA